GCUAAGCAAUGGAAAAGACCACCCACAGGGAAGGUUGCUACUGCAAGACUGAUGGAAAGGUCUCAUGCAGAGGCAUAGGUUGCAGAGGCAAAGUAGAUGACAGUGGCCACUCUAAUGUCUUUGCCACUGAUCAAAAGCUAUGGGAUUCUGGAGAUGGGCAAAAUGCUUUUAUGUUUCUUCAUUGUGGUUGUGGCUGCCUUCUCUGCAGGAGUAGCCAGUGAGCAGGCUUCAUUUCCACAGCCUCCAAGGAGAGUGGAGGGCUUGGACAAGCAGGAGAUCAGAGUAAAGUCCCAGAAAUCAGUAAGCAUUGGGAAGGAAGGGGACAGUCAGCGUGGAAUGAAUGCCACUGCCCUCAGGAGAGGCUGUUCAGGACCGGUGGAGUGCUGAGUCAAGGCUACUGGACUGGGGAAUGACCUGGUCACCCCGGGCCCCAGGAGGGCAGUGAGGAUGGAAGGGCAACUGCAGAUGGGCUGGCAGAAGAAGCAGGGGUGCAGGGAGUGCCUCUCCUGGGGUGCAGAAGCUGGAGUGCAAAGACUGGUGUGAGCCAGUCUGCUGGGCCCACUGCUGCUCCUCAGUGAUGUUCACCUUUGUGAUGUAGAGGAAAGGGUAGGACUGCAUCUGGGAUCAGCCCAGCUGGGCUGGAAUCUCAGCUCUGCUCUACUUAGUGCCUGGGUGACCUUGGGCCAGUCCCUUACUCUCUCCAAGUUGCUUGGUUUUCUCACCAGAAACACUAAGUGAUGUCUUGGGUCCAGCUCUAGAUCUGACCUGUGCUCCAUGGUCAGUCCCCUCAGCCUUCUGGGAGCUGAUAUUGUCAGCUGGCAAAAGCACACUCAUUCUCAGCCCUAACUUUGAGGGGCUUGGGCACAGCCACCCUCACGUCCAGUGAGACCAGCCCAGGCAGGAAAGAAAAACUGAACCCCAAACCUGGGCCUUUGAUUCAUGAUAAAGCCUGUGCCCCAGAUGAUGGAAGGAACAGAGCCCUGAGAGGAGAGGAGAGCCCCUGGAUGUGGUCAGGCAGGGGCACUGGAGGCUCAAUAGCCUUUCUACCAGCCUGAGCUCUUUAGGAGUAGGACAUGGGCUGAGGGGUCUUCCAGCCAAGGCUGGAGGAGCACUUUGGCAGGCCUAGUUUGGUCUAGACAGUAACAGCAUUUAUGUGGCACUUAUGCCAGGGACCAUGCCAAUGCUCAUUAGGUCCAGGAGGGAGGAGGUGUCCUGGGGAAUAGAUGGGGAAACUGAGGCAGACAGCAAGGAAGUGACUUGUCCAGCUAGGGAGUGUCUGAGGCUGGAGGUCUUCCAGAAUGGCUUGUUGCCUCUGAGCCUGAGCAAAGAGGAGUCAGGGAGCUGGGAGCCCCUGCCCCCCUCUUCCCUGGGUCACAUCCCUGUGGAAAGCCACAGUUCAGGGCACUGAAAAUCAAACGAUCCUGAUGAAGAGCUUCACCAGCUUGAGAGAGAAUGUUGUUUUGAAUCCCGGUGGGUUUCUGGACCCUUCUACUUGAGUUUAUGGAGACAGAUGGCCCCCUCACUCCUGCCACCUAGAUGGAGAGGAAAUGACUGAGCCCAGCAAACUGGUCACCCCUGUGGGGGGCAGUGAGAUCACAAAGCCUGAAGGAUGUCACUAUGCAGAGGGGGUUCUGAGGUUGUCAUGACUGAGGGGCCCUACAUCAGACAACAUUCCUUCCCUGGGAGGCUAAUGGGAAUGGUGGUCUUAAAACCUCCUGCAGUGAGGGAGAUGAAAGAACAGCAGCCACACUCUCCUCCUAUGAACUCUGUGGCAGUUUUGAGACCUUUUCGACUGUCCCCUGGACAGAUUCCAGUGAGAAGACUGGAUGGUAGACCCGGACCCCAACCACUGCCUGGAACCCACCCAAGUAUGCCUCCAUCUCAACAAGAAGGGCAUGCUGGAAGCUCUGGCUGGAGUCAGUGAUGGAAGAUUCCCAGGGAGAAGAACAUCAAGAGAAGCUGCCUCUGUCCACUGCCUGUCUCAAUGAUAUGACUCUGGAGGACCAAUGGUCAGGAAUGGAAAUAGAAGACCUAGCACUCUUCCCUGGAACCCAAGAUCCCAAAAUAUCCCAGAUGACCCUGUACAGGAAGAUAGAAGAGCAGAAUAUGCUCCAUCUACCCAAAUUCCCCCAGGGUCACUGUAUCCAGGGUCUAGGAAGGACUAAAUGGCAAGAUACUCCCUUCCCUUCCUUCCCCUUCCUUCCCCUCCCCUUCCCUUCCCUCCACUACCCUCCCUCCCCUCCCCUUCCCUCCCAUUCCUUCCCUUCCCUUCCCUUCCUUCCCCUCCCCUUCCCUUCCCUCCACUACCCUCCCCUCCCCUCCACUUCCCUUCCUUUCCCUUCCCUUCCCUUCCCUUCCCUUCCCUUCCCUUCCCUUCCCUUCCCUUCCCUUCCCUUCCCUUCUCUUCCCUUCCCUUCCCUCCCCUCCCCUCCCCUCGCUAUCCCCCCUCUCUAUCCCUCCCCUCCCCUCCUCUCCACUUUCCUCCCCUCCCUUUACUCCUGACCUUCUCUUUUCUUCCCUUCACUUUCCUCUCCACCUCUUCCCUGAUCUUCCCUUCACUUUCCUGAACUUCACUUCCUUGCCCUGCAUCCCCUUCACUAUCCUUACCUAACUUUCUCUCCCCUCCCUUCCCUUCCCUUCCCUUCCCUCCCCUUUCCUCCUCUCUCCUUCCCUCCCCUCCCCUCCUUUCCCCUCACCAUCAACUUUCCCUUCCCUUCUCUCACCUAUCCCUCAUCUUUCUUUCCCUCCCCUCCUCGCCUUCCCUUUCCUCCCCUCCCCUCCACUUCCCUUCUCUCCCCUCCACUUCCACUUUCCUCCCCUCCUUUUCUCUCCCCUUCCCCUCCUUUCCCUUCCCUCCCCUUCUCUCCCCUCCCCUUCCCUCCCCUCCAUUUUCCUCCCCUCCACUUUCCUUCACUCCUCUUCUCUCCUCUUCCCUCCCCUCCCCUUUCCUUCCCUCCCUUCACUACCCCUUCAUCCCCUCCACUUAGCUCCCCUCCUCUUCUCUCUCCUUCCCCUCCCUUCCCUUCCCUCCCCUUCUCCCCUCUCCCCUCCCUUCCUUUCCCUCCCUUAUCUCCCCUCCCUUCCCCUUCCCUGCCUCCUGAAGCUUUCCUGGAGAUUUCAGAAGAUCAGAAGGUGCAAAGUCAUCCUCUCCCCAGAUGUUGCUCAUGGAGGACGUUCUUUGAAGUUUUAAUGUUAUCUUACAUUCUUUGCUCUAAGAGUAAAACAGCUCACCCGACCCCAAAAGAAAAAUAAAGAUCUUCUAUGGUGA